ensembl:lncRNA
AUAGAAUUUUCUGGAGCACUGAGCAACUGCUACAACUAAAGAGUUCAGAAAAAUACACUGCAUCAACACCAACAGCUGGAAUGAGUGAGGGUCCAAAUACAAGCACACUUCUCAGCAGCAGCUUUCUGCAGCUCCCACUCCCAUACGCCGACGGUGAGCGCCGAGCGCUUGCGGUGGUGGAUGAGGUAUAGGCUUAAGAGUCUGCAUGCCCUGCUGCGAGUGAGCGAGCUCCGACAGCUCCGCUCCAGCGCCUUUUGUUGUGCAGAUUCUCUCCAAAAGCCCACACUGAGUACUUGUCAAUUGUGCCGAAGUCUUGCAAUCACAAAGAGCGUAACUUUUCAUGACACAGCUCAACAGAUUACUGGUAUAGAGGGAGCCAAGCCCGAAUCCAAAAACCGCAAUCACAGGGCAGGCGAGAGCCGAAUGCAUCUCGAAUGAAUCCCCCUCCCGCUCCGCUUCUUUGCAUAUUGCUCGCCAAACGUGACGCGGAUCGCGGGGUUGCAAGCCUGGUUCUUUCCUCGGGCUCACUAACCUGGAGUGUGAAGGGUAAAAUGAUCUCCAGGGUUCCAGAAGGUCCUUAGCCACAGGGUCAGACCAUGUAGCCACGUCCCACAGCCUCACUCCUGCUUUGCCCCACGUUUCUGUGUCAUAGUUCGCAGCCCCAUCUACUCCUACGUUACAAGAGACCCACACCAAAAGUCACCUUAAAUCGAAGCUUUUCACUUCAGCGCGGUGUUUCUGCAAAACCGUUUCCAUUAUUUUGCAGACCACCUCCUGCUCCUUUGUGUCACUCGCGCCUAUUGUUCCCCAUUGCUCAUUUCCGACUUGCAGAAGUGACUCUGGCUAUGCAGCCCGUUCCUGCUUCCUUUCAGCAGCCCUAAUUCCUUGCCACUGGUCAGCUUUGAUAGCCAAUUAUCUCCCGAGGCUGACCCUGAUACAGGGACCCUGUUCGGGCGCCAUUUGUGGCAAGCGCACUCUGUCGCUGGUGCAGAACGAAGACACGUAUGAAUUCACAGCAACUGUUACCUAGGAGGAGGGGAGCAUGGAACAGAUAUUGUGGAGUCUCCAUGGAUUCAUCAAGGACUACUACAUAGAGAAGUGAAAGUGAUCUUCAAGAGCAACAGGUGGCAGAUGUCCCCAUAGAAGUCUGUGUCCUGAACUGGCAGAAUCACAGAGUCACGGACCUGGGGGGAGUAGAACAGACCUCUGGAGACCAUCAAGUCCAACCCCUUGCUGAAGCAGUUCCCUACAGCAGGCUGCACAGGAAAGUGUCCACAUGGGUUCUGAAUAUCUCCUGAGAAAGAGACUCUACAGCCUCACUGGGCAGCCUGUUCCAGUGCUCUGUCACCCUCACGAUAGCCUGUUGGCUGACACACAGAGGGCUGAAGCAAGAUGCUUUGUUACUUGCUUUGUUACUACACACUUGACAACAGUUCCUGCAUUUUCAGAUGGGAAGAAGAAUCAACAACUCCUAGGAAGGAUGAGGAGGAGAGGGAGAAAUAUUACCUUUACCUUUCAGAACAAGAGUUUUUACCUGCACAGCCACUACCAACUGACAGCUGGAUCAAGGUUGAGGAGACAGCUGCAGACAUUUGCAUAUUUCUGUUCUAACUCUUUGCCUGAGGGAACAGUUUCAUGACCAGUUGUCUUACAUCCACCUUACAUUCUGAGUUAUACUAGAAAGAUUUCCCCCUGCUGUGCACUGUCUCCCCAGACCUCGACUUGGAUUUGCAGCAUACUUCAUGAAGCUCUUUGUAAUGCUGUUUGAAGGCAAUAAGGCAAACUCAGUUUUCUUAGUUACCUUGUUUUGUUGUUAGCAGGAAAGGUAGGUAUUAACCCAUUUCAUGUAAAUCUUAUAAACCAGACACAGUACCCUUUCGGGAAAAAGAUGCACUGGUACGGACACCACUAAGUGGGAAGAAUUAUAAGGAACACAUAUUAUUUUGAUUUUUUUUUCCAUUGCUCUUCACUAGAGAUAUUGAAAUAUAUCUAGACAUUUAAUGAUUGUCUCACUCAAGAUGUUAUCAGCAAGAACUGGAUUCUUUGCUGUAAAUAUAAGGAACAGAAAGGCCAGAAAAUAAGGAACAAAUUCUCGAAGACAGA